CAUCUACAGUCUUAAAACAAAAUCCCAGCAGGUUUUGUGAGUAUAGAAACUGACUAGUUGGCUUUUAAAAGUCAACAUGAAAGUGCAAAGAGCCAAGGAUAGUGUUGUACCUGACCGAGUCAAGGAAUGCGCCACACUCUGAGAUUGAAUUAUGAGUCCUUUAUUAUUCCGGUGACUGAGUGGUGGCUAACGCCCCAAAUUCUCUCAGCCCCUCAGAAAAAGUUAGGUGGUCUUUUAUACCCUAAUUUUAAAAGGGAGAUGGAACC